AUUGAACGCUGGCGGCAGGCCUAACACAUGCAAGUCGAACGGUAACAGGGAUCAGCUUGCUGAUUCGCUGACGAGUGGCGGACGGGAGAGUAAUGUCUGUGAAACUGCCUGAUGGAGGGGGCUAACUACUGGAAACGGUAGCUAAUACCGCAUAACGUCGCAAGACCAAAGAGGGGGACCUUCGGGCCUCUUGCAAUCGGAUGUGCCCAGAUGGGAUUAGCUAGUAGGUGGGGUAACGGCUCACCUAGGCGACGAUCUCUAGCUGGUCUGAGAGGAUGACCAGCCACACUGGAACUGAGACACGGUCCAGACUCCUACGGGAGGCAGCAGUGGGGAAUAUUGGACAAUGGGCGCAAGCCUGAUGCAGCCAUGCCGCGUGUAUGAAGAAGGCCUUCGGGUUGUAAAGUACUUUCGGCGGGGAGGAAGGGAGUAAAGUUAAUACCUUGGCUCAUUGACGUUACCCGCAGAAGAAGCACCGGCUAACUCCGUG
rnacentral:rRNA from 1 species